AUUGAACGCUGGCGGCAGGCCUAACACAUGCAAGUCGAACGAGUGGCGGACGGGUGAGUAAUGUCUGGGAAACUGCCUGAUGGAGGGGGAUAACUACUGGAAACGGUAGCUAAUACCGCAUACCAUCAGAUGUGCCCAGGUGGGAUUAGCUAGUGGGUGGGGUAAAGGCCUACCUAGGCGACGAUCCGUAGCUGGUCUGAGAGGAUGAUCAGCCACACUGGAACUGAGACACGGUCCAGACUCCUACGGGAGGCAGCAGUGGGGAAUAUUGGACAAUGGGCGCAAGCCUGAUACAGCCAUGCCGCGUGUGUGAAGAAGGUCUUCGGGUUGUAAAGCACUUUCAGUUGGGAGGCGUUACCCGCAGAAUAAGCACCGGCUAACUUCGUGCCAGCAGCCGCGGUAAUAC
rnacentral:rRNA from 1 species